rnacentral:lncRNA from 1 species
CAAGCUUAGACACCUCAGCAUGCUUCACCUUUUUAUUUUUAUUUUUUUUUCUUUCUUAAAGGGAUGAUACCCCAUCGAAGAAGAUCCUCCCACUAAAUUUACUAGCUCCUUGUGGAGCUAGUAAUCAUUCUCAAAAGUCUAUAGCAAUCCCAGCAAAUCAUGAUAGUUGAUUGUAAGCUUCGUCAUUCUAUAAUGAUUAAGAAAGGACAGGUAGGACUUGGAUAGAGAGUUCAAUAUCGCAUCUUUUUCAAGCUGCUCAUGUAAGAAAAAGCUAA